GGCGUUAUAGCUAAGUAGUUACGACGACAGAUUCGAAUGCGAUAAUUUGUUCCUCUUUGAAGGCGCAGAUUCAAAUUCUGCUGGCGUCG
rfam:Termitomyces sp. J132 unplaced genomic scaffold scaffold284, whole genome shotgun sequence.